rnacentral:misc_RNA from 1 species
GAUGAAGAACGUAGUGAAACGCGAUAGUUAAUGUGAAUUGCAGAAUUCAGUGAAUCAUCGAGUCUUUGAACGCACAUUGCGCCCCUCGGUAUUCCGGAGGGCAUGUCUGUUUGAGCGUCAUUUCAACACUCUCGCUUUAAGCGGUUUUGGGCUUGGAAUUCUCAUGAAAACUUGAAUGGGGGUCCGGCUUUAAAGUUGAAUGCUUGCAGAUAAAUAUCUUGAAUAAAACAUAGUAAAAAUCUUUGAUUUCCUUCCUGUUUGUUCAUGAUUUUUGUCUAGCCUAAACAAAAAAAAAUCUAUUAUUUUGACCUCAGAUCAGACAAGGAUACCCGCUGAACUUAAGCAUAUCAAUAAGCGGAGGA